CCUACGGGAGGCAUCAGUGGGGAAUAUUGGACAAUGGGGGCAACCCUGAUCCAGCCAUGCCGCGUGUGUGAAGAAGGCCCUCGGGUUGUAAAGCACUUUCAGUGAGGAAGAACGCCUGGUGGUUAAUACCCAUCAGGAAAGACAUCACUCACAGAAGAAGCACCGGCUAACUCCGUGCCAGCAGCCGCGGUAAUACGGAGGGUGCGAGCGUUAAUCGGAAUUACUGGGCGUAAAGCGCGCGUAGGUGGCUUGAUAAGCCGGUUGUGAAAGCCCCGGGCUCAACCUGGGAACGGCAUCCGGAACUGUCAAGCUAGAGUGCAGGAGAGGAAGGUAGAAUUCCCGGUGUAGCGGUGAAAUGCGUAGAGAUCGGGAGGAAUACCAGUGGCGAAGGCGGCCUUAUGGACUGACACUGACACUGAGGUGCGAAAGCGUGGGUAGCAAACAGGAUUAGAUACCCCAGUAGUC
rnacentral:rRNA from 1 species